CCUACGGGAGGCAGCAGUGGGGAAUUUUGGACAAUGGGCGCAAGCCUGAUCCAGCCAUGCCGCGUGUCUGAAGAAGGCCUUCGGGUUGUAAAGGACUUUUGUCAGGGAAGAAAAGGGCGGGGUUAAUACCCCUGUCUGAUGACGGUACCUGAAGAAUAAGCACCGGCUAACUACGUGCCAGCAGCCGCGGUAAUACGUAGGGUGCGAGCGUUAAUCGGAAUUACUGGGCGUAAAGCGGGCGCAGACGGUUACUUAAGCAGGAUGUGAAAUCCCCGGGCUCAACCUGGGAACUGCGUUCUGAACUGGGUGACUAGAGUGUGUCAGAGGGAGGUAGAAUUCCACGUGUAGCAGUGAAAUGCGUAGAGAUGUGGAGGAAUACCGAUGGCGAAGGCAGCCUCCUGGGAUAACACUGACGUUCAUGCCCGAAAGCGUGGGUAGCAAACAGGAUUAGAUACCCUGGUAGUCCACGCCCUAAACGAUGUCGAUUAGCUGUUGGGCAGCUUGACUGCUUAGUAGCGAAGCUAACGCGUGAAAUCGACCGCCUGGGGAGUACGGUCGCAAGAUUAAAACUCAAAGGAAUUGACGG
rnacentral:rRNA from 1 species